rnacentral:lncRNA from 1 species
GCACCAAGAGGCCCGAAGCCACCGACAUGGCCCAGGCCUCCGGGAUUCCUCACCAUGACGACAGGGGUCCAGUUCCCCACCCCCCACACCCAACCACUGUCACAGUGGUUCUUAUAAGCACUUAAGUUCUUAUAAGUGCUUCUUAUAAGCAAAUCUGAUCACACCCUCUCCCUGCUUAAAAAUCUUCACAGCCCCCAGCCCUUCAAAUAAAGCCCAAAUUCCCCAGCAGGGCAUACAAAUUCCUCCCAGUCUGACCCCAAUCAACCUCGCUGCCUCACCCCUAAACCACAAAGCUCACGCAGCCUCUGCAGCUCACUCAAGGCCCUCUCGGGCCACCAUGUUUUUGCAUAUGCUGUCCCUGGUCCCGGAAGCAUCCUCUGCCAGCCUGCCCCCAGCACACGCCUAAUUGCCCUUCCAUGCUCUGCCUAAAUGUCGCUCCUCUGGGAGUCCUCCCCGCCUGGAAUAUUGUUGGACGCUCCCCCAUGACCCCACAGAGUCUGUACGUAUCUGUGCCAUGCCAGUUCAAAGCACC